rnacentral:rRNA from 1 species
UAGGGAAUCUUCGGCAAUGGACGGAAGUCUGACCGAGCAACGCCGCGUGAGUGAAGAAGGUUUUCGGAUCGUAAAGCUCUGUUGUUAGAGAAGAACGUUGGUAGGAGUGGAAAAUCUACCAAGUGACGGUAACUAACCAGAAAGGGACGGCUAACUACGUGCCAGCAGCCGCGGUAAUACGUAGGUCCCGAGCGUUGUCCGGAUUUAUUGGGCGUAAAGCGAGCGCAGGCGGUUCUUUAAGUCUGAAGUUAAAGGCAGUGGCUUAACCAUUGUACGCUUUGGAAACUGGAGGACUUGAGUGCAGAAGGGGAGAGUGGAAUUCCAUGUGUAGCGGUGAAAUGCGUAGAUAUAUGGAGGAACACCGGUGGCGAAAGCGGCUCUCUGGUCUGUAACUGACGCUGAGGCUCGAAAGCGUGGGGAGCAAACAGGAUUAGAUACCCUGGUAGUCCACGCCGUAAACGAUGAGUGCUAGGUGUUAGGUCCUUUCCGGGGCUUAGUGCCGCAGCUAACGCAUUAAGCACUCCGCCUGGGGAGUACGACCGCAAGGUUG